rnacentral:rRNA from 1 species
GACGAACGCUGGCGGCGUGCUUAACACAUGCAAGUCGAACGGAAAGGCCGGGCUUUUGGGGGGUCGUCUGGGGGACAAGGGGUGAGUAGCACUUGGGUACCGUGCCCUUGAGUGUGGGUUGACUUCAGGAAAGUGGGGGUAAUAGCGGAUAGGAGCUCUUGCUGCAUGGUGGGGGUUGGUAAGUUUCGGCGGUUGGGGAUGGAAUCGCGGCUUAUCAGCUUGUUGGAGGGGUAGUGGCUUACCAAGGCUUUGACGGGUAGCAGGCCUGAGAGGGUGACCGGCCACAUUGGGACUGAGAUACGGCCCAGACUCCUACGGGAGGCAGCAGUGGGGAAUAUUGCACAAUGGGCGGAAGCCUGAUGCAGCAACGCCGCGUGCGGGAUGACGGCCUUCGGGUUGUAAACCGCUUUCGCCUGUGACGAAGCGUGAGUGACGGUAAUGGGUAAAGAAGCACCGGCUAACUACGUG